UUGCAUCCACUGAUAGACCUGAAGCAGGCUCCAAUGGCUUCUGGGUUUGCAUAGAGAUGCUAAACAACGUUUCCUUGCGCUUUCUGACUGCUAAAUCUGUAGCAGCACAGAUUGAAUAUAGGAGUACAUGU
ensembl:snoRNA small nucleolar RNA SNORA31